rnacentral:lncRNA from 1 species
GUCGUCCAGUGGGGUAGCUGCUGGCGGCAUAUGGCUAUUAACAUUUAUAUUUCAGUUAAUUGCAGUCCUCCCGAUGACUUCUUCAGUCUGUUUCUGUAGCUCUUCCGUGGGGAUCACGGCCAGAUGCAGGGGGUGUAGUGUCCGUCACCACCUGCCUGGUACAGAUGAGAAGCUCCAAAGUAAAACCUUUUCCUUGACAAUUAAAAGUCCGCUCCUGACAUCCUGGAAUCCAAGUCCCCGUUGCACGUCUCUGCUUUGCUCUGAGCCGCGUACUUUCUUCUUGUGUCUACACAGCCUGCAGAAGGAAGGUUGGAAACGAGAAAUCUUUCUGAGUUUGAAAGCUGCUUUGGAGAAGUACCAUGAGGGCAUUGAAAAGGCGGCAGAGGACUGUGGCGCCAAAAUCGAGGAGAAAACGGCCGAACUGAAGAAGAGCAUGUUCAGAACGUCGGCCUGAUGAACGCAGGCACCGGUCUCUGCCAGCAGCUCGUGGCCUUUCGGGUGUGGAAGCAGGACAGUUCGUGGAAGUUUCUGAAAGUAUUGGAAGCAGCACGUAGUGUUGGCUCAGCCAUGUUUAUAGGCUCUCAUAGGUUACUUUGUAAGAUAACACAUUUAAUGUAGACUUUUAUUAACUUACAAUUAAAAUAGCUUGCGCAGCUCUCCAUGCCCUGCUUGUAAGGAGUGGACUAAGACAAAAACAGGUGCAUUUGAAACACAUGGUUUUCCGUGUCGCCCGCCAUCGUUGCUGGUGGGCCUCCAGGGGGUAGCAUGCUGCAGCCCUGAGGUCGGGGUCUCGGGCGUCCUCACGGGGGCAGUUGCGGGGAGGUGGCGGAGCCGGGAUUGGAACCGGGCCCCGCGGCGCUGGAGCGUGCAGCGCGUGCUCUCCCACCUCUCUGGAGUCAUUGUUGAAAAAGUUUGAGUGCGGCGGUCGGGUGCCGGUCGGUGCUUCACCGACGCUGUUAAACUUAAAACUGUCCGUAUUCUACCAGCAUGAUGGGAUUGUUCGGUCGUAGCGAGAAUUGCAGUUCGGGACACGCCAACUGUGGCAGGCCGCCAGGCCAGUCCGGCAGAGGACGGGGACGUCGGGAGGGGUCGUUUGACCCCAGGUCCGUCGGAGAAAAGCAAGAGUUGGAGGCGAUGACGGUUUCUCUUUGGCUGGACUGUCGGCCGGUGCUCCCUGCAGGGGUGCAGCGGGCAUCUCGCCCUGCUGGGCGGGGACUCCGUGCGGUGGGUGGUUCCCCUGUCGGGAUUAUAACCGGCACCUGUUCCAGUCAUCAUGUUGGGGCGUAGGGCCCCCCGUGGAGCCUCCAGACCACUGUGCUGGGGUUUCCCUUCAUUCCUGUUCACGGCGCCGGGGCGUCUUUAUGAGGAAAACGAGGUAAAGUGUGCCCAAUGCAGAGCCGCCUAGGUGCCAUGGCAGACGUCAGUGCUAGUCAGUCUCAGUAUGUAGAAUCAUGGAAGUCCGGGUGUUUCUGCCUUUGUCAGCGAUGAUAAAGCAUUGGUGUAGGUAGAGACCAGCCUUUCAGUGAGACAAAAAAGCCCUGGGAUGGAGGACUGGAAAAAUCUAGGUGUCCAGGGAGGACUAGUUGGGGUACAAGAUUGAGCUGCUGACCUGUCCCUUUCUUGCUUCUUUCUAAGUAGAAUUUUAAGCCUUCAAAAAGGUCAGUUUAUGAGGCGGGGUAACAGGGGUAAACAUGACCAUGACUCUUUUUAUCUUUAAAAAUGUAACCCCCUGGACCUAUAUCCAUCUUUAAGUUAUUGUUUUUUUUUCUUUUCCCCACAACUGAGAUAUCACCUUACACUUGUCAGAAUAACUGAAGUAAAAGAGACAAGAAAGACGUGUUGGUGAGGGUGGUGAGAAGAAGGAAGCCUUCUGCACUGCUGGUGGGAAUGUAGACUGGUGCAGCCACUGUGGAAAACAGUAUGGAGGCUCCUCAAUAAAUUAAAAACAAAAUAGAAUAUGUCCCAAUAAUUUCACUACUGGGUAUUGGAAACACGAAUUCAGGGAGCUACAUGGGCUCCUAUGUUAAUUGCAGCAUUUAUUUAGAAUGGCCAAGAAAGGGAAGCAACCCAAGUGUCCAUUGAUAGAUGGACAGAAGGUGUGUGUGUGUGUGUGUGUACGCGCACGCGUGCGUGUAUCAGAAUAUUAGCCAUAAAGAAGAAUGAGAUAUUGCCAUUUGCAAGAACAUGGAUGGACCUAGAGAGUAUAAUGCUAAGUGAAAUUAGAAAGACAUAUGAUUUCUUUCAUGUGGAAUUUGAGAAACAAAAAAAUGGACAAAAACAAUAAACAGACUUUUGAAUACAGAGAACAAACUGCUGGUCACCAGAGGGGGAGGGGGGUUACGGGAAACAGGUAAAG